CGAACCAGAGGUAAAUCAUUUCCGUUUUGUAGGACUACAAGCUGGCGAUAUCUAUUUUGAGUGGGGGACUGAAAGUGAAUGAAUGGUGCCACGGGCCUCACCUACACUGGACCUGAAAGGUUUCUCACAACUUUGACAGCUUUGUCAUUGAGAUCAGGACAACAAUAUUAAGGACACUGGUGGACUGUCAGCUCUCAGAACUUAGUGAAGAGGACGCCACUGUAGACAUGUCACCUGUGCACCAGGCAGUCAAUGGAAGGUGUCUCCAAGGUGCCAAUGACAGACAGGGGCUGGAGAGACUGGACAACAUGCUGCUGAGUCUGCAGACAGGGCUGAGGGACAAUCAUACCCUCACAGCCUAGAUAGAAACAUAGGAAGGAGGAUAUGACGUGGUUUGUUUGUGUUGCGCCAGGAUGCAAGGGCAAGCAGUAAUGCAUCGUAGAGGACCUACAUUGUUUUAGGUUGUGGUACUCCAUUGAGUGUGACUCAUUGCAGACACAGGGACUAGUACAGGGACACCUAGUCCUCACCCAGUAGCUUAGAUUGUCACUAGUAAUUUUUCCUCACUUGCAUGCUUUUCAUUUGUUCCCAUUCUGACUCUUCAUGUAUUAGGCUAUAAGCAUAGUGGAAUGCAUUUGGCUAUUGGCAUUGUGUAUUAGGCUAUAGGCCUAGUGUGUACAGAAGAAAUAGAUGUUUUAAAGCCAAAUAUUCUUAUUAUAUGCCUUAUUCUUAUCAUAUUUUGUCAUUCAAAUUUUCAAUAUAACUUGCACUUUGUUUUCAGGUUUGAGUGAGACGAUGUAUUCCCCGCAAUAAAGUACUUUCAAUAAAGUUCUUGAUUUAUUAAUAUUA